UGUGGUUUUCAUGUGUUUGCUCUGAGGUGU
rnacentral:piRNA from 1 species